rnacentral:lncRNA from 1 species
CUGCCUAGUGUUGGAUGGGCGCGUGCUCUGCAUGGUGAGGCGGGAGCGACAGUUGACUGUCCAUUCGUGUGUCGCAGUCGGGUGGUGUGCUUGCUUCCAAGUUUGGAGAUGAAGAGUUCCAUACAAAAGACCUACUCCCCUGAGAAGUAGUGAAGUGCUCCUGGGGCCCACCAAGGCCACACAAAUCAAGGAGUGGGUGACCUCACCCUGGCUUCAGCUCAGAGCUGAUUUUGAGAUCACCUUUGCAAAACGACAUCGUGCUGGGAGAUGUCAUCAGGACAAGACCAUAGAUGUGGCUGUCAAAGGAGGUGAGAAGAGAGAUGUCCAGGGGGAGAAGUGGCCAAACACCAACACCUCUGCAUCCAACCUCACAAAAGACUCAAAGAGAUGCAGAAACGGAGAUGGGGGAAUGGAAACCUCUUUCAAGCUAGGCUUUGAGGCCUGGUACUGAUCUCUCUUCUUCCUCCUGCAACCUACAGCACCUGCAGUUUUCUCACCUCAGUUGAUGGAAACUCCAUCCUUACGUACACUCAAUCCAGAAAUCUUAGAGUUUUCUUUGACUGCUGAUCUG